rnacentral:rRNA from 1 species
GGUGGUGCAUGGUUGUCGUCAGCUCGUGUCGUGAGAUGUUGGGUUAAGUCCCGCAACGAGCGCAACCCUUAUCUUCAGUAGCCAGAAGGUAAAGCCGGGCACUCUGGAGAGACUGCCGGGGAUAACCCGGAGGAAGGUGGGGAUGACGUCAAAUCAUCAUGCCCCUUAUGAUUUGGGCUACACACGUGCUACAAUGGCGUAAACAGAGGGAAGCGAGCCCGCGAGGGGGAGCAAAUCCCAAAAAUAACGUCCCAGUUCGGAUUGUAGUCUGCAACCCGACUACAUGAAGCUGGAAUCGCUAGUAAUCGCGGAUCAGAAUGCCGCGGUGAAUACGUUCCCGGGUCUUGUACACACCGCCCGUCACACCAUGGGAGUCGGAAAUGCCCGAAGUCUGUGACCUAACCGCAAGGGAGGAGCAGCCGAAGGCAGGUCGGAUGACUGGGGUGAAGUCGUAACAAGGUAGCCGUAUCGGAAGGUGCGGCUGGAUCACCUC